GUGAAUCAUCAAAUUUUUGAACGCAAAUUGCACUCUCCUCGGAGAUUAUGCCUGUUUGAGGGUCAGCCUAUAAAAAAUCGACAUCGUUGCUGUUUCGCGGUGACGUUCGUCUGAUAUUGGGUCAUCUUUAAUCCUUUUGGUGUUAAGCGACUUAAAAAUUUCUUUGUGGUUCCAUGAACGUUACUAAGAUUUAUUUCUUUACACGUUUAAGGUAUCGAUUUUUAUUAGAUGUGACCAUCAUAUCGUAUCUCUUCCAUAAUCUUUCAUUAAUUGACCUCAGACAGGUAAGAGUACCCGCUGA
rnacentral:misc_RNA from 1 species